UACGGGGGGAGCAAGCGUUGUUCGGAAUUACUGGGCGUAAAGCGUGCGCAGGCGGCUUUGCAAGACAGAUGUGAAAUCCCCGGGCUUAACCUGGGAACUGCAUUUGUGACUGCAUGGCUGGAGUGCGGCAGAGGGGGAUGGAAUUCCGCGUGUAGCAGUGAAAUGCGUAGAUAUGCGGAGGAACACCGAUGGCGAAGGCAAUCCCCUGGGCCUGCACUGACGCUCAUGCACGAAAGCGUGGGGAGCAAACAGG
rnacentral:rRNA from 1 species